GACGGAGGAUGCAAGCGUUAUCCGGAAUGAUUGGGCGUAAAGCGUCCGCAGGUGGCAGUUCAAGUCUGCUGUCAAAGACCGGGGCUUAACUUCGGAAAGGCAGUGGAAACUGAACAGCUAGAGUAUGGUAGGGGCAGAGGGAAUUCCUGGUGUAGCGGUGAAAUGCGUAGAUAUCAAGAGGAACACCUGCGGCGAAGGCGGGUUGCUGGGCCGACACUGACGCUGAGGCGCGAAAGCCAGGGGAGCGAACGGG
rnacentral:rRNA from 1 species